AAAUGAUUGAUAGUAAAGGAGAUUUCCACAACAUGAUAAAAAUUUAGCACAAAUAAAUUAUUAAAAUUAAAUUGUUUUACGAGAAUUUAUCAAUUUUUUAUAUUAAACACAAUCAAAGAUAUUUAUUAGCCUUGUAUGCAGGUUUCUUUUCUGUCGAUAUGGAUCUUGUGGAAUACUGAUUUUGCGAUCAGUAAAUUCUUGGCUGAUGCAGUAGAA